rnacentral:lncRNA from 1 species
GCCUUUCGCGCCGGGCCGAAGCCUCGCCGGCGCGCCCGCCCGCCCGCAGUGGAGAGUGUAGGGGCCGGCCCCGCGCGCGGUAGCGGGGUCCGUCCUCCAGAACCGCAGGGCGGGAACGUCGGGCCGCGCGGGCCCUCGCGGUGGAGCCCAGGGCGCCGCCCAGGCUGGCACCCGGCGGGCGGGACGGAAGUGCGGGGGCCGGGCGUGUGCGGGCCGCGUAUGCUCUGGCGGCCUCCCCCGCGGCUCAGCGGGUCUCCGCGCGGUCAGAGCCCGAGGGUCGCUGCGGGGCCUGUUAGUUUCUGCAGAGCAGCCCUCUCUUGCAGUUACUUUGUAUUUGGUUGUUCUUAAACAUUGUUGCGCUUUGUGCUUGGUUUAAUGGUCGUGUAGAAGCUACGGGUCUAAAGAGUUUAUACACUGUCUAUACUUAAAUAAACUCUUGAGGCCAAAAAUAAUUUUUUAAAAAGAGAUUUGUGUAUUUUUUUUAAUUAUCUGUUACAAAUCCAAAAUUCUAAGAACAGCUGUAAUCCUUUGCUAUCUCAAUUUCUGUAGGUCGGGAAUUUGGGAGCUAAGUCCUCGUUCAGGAUCUUAAAAAGUUGUGGGCAGAUGUCAGCUGGCCCUGAAGUCACCUGAAGGACGGGCACUGGUUGGAGAGACCCGUCCUGGGUGACUGACUGGCACCUGCACUGUGAACCCUUGAAUGACUGCCGCUCCUGCCUGUUGAUUGCACAGAGCAGCCCCCAGGCAAUGCGGAGUGAAUACCAAGAGGAGAGGAUUGUUGGGCGCCUUCUCAGGCUGGCUACCACAGUAUUGGAUGCAAAUAUGAGCAGAAACAAACUACUGUUUCUGGGCAGUUUCCCUGAAGACAGAAAGGAACACUUUCCUUCCUGUAGGAAACAGAUGAAAUUCAAAGACUGAUCAUUGUGACUUGGGAAAAUGUCACCAAGAUCAGCCUUCCCUCUCCCAGGCAUCAUGUGCAUAUUGCAGUAAGGAAGGAGAAUGUGUAUUGUCUUCACAUAUCCUGAUAGAACUUUCAGGGCUAGGAUCUGGCUCAGUAGUAAAGUGCUUGCCUAGCAAGUCCAAGGCUCUGAGUUCAGUUUUCAGUAUUGCACAAAGAGAAUUUUCUGUUUUAGAAGCUAUGUUGAUAUGCUUUCUACAUUUCAGUUAGAAGUUGUCAAGAGCAUGGGGGGCUAGGGUUGUGGCUCGCUUAGCACGUGUGCGGCCCUGGGUUCGAUCCUC